rnacentral:rRNA from 1 species
UAGGGAAUCUUCGGCAAUGGGGGCAACCCUGACCGAGCAACGCCGCGUGAGUGAAGAAGGUUUUCGGAUCGUACAGCUCUGUUGUAAGAGAAGAACGUGUGUGAGAGUGGAAAGUUCACACAGUGACGGUAACUUACCAGAAAGGGACGGCUAACUACGUGCCAGCAGCCGCGGUAAUACGUAGGUCCCGAGCGUUGUCCGGAUUUAUUGGGCGUAAAGCGAGAGCAGGCGGUUUGAUAAGUCUGAAGUUAAAGGCAGAGGGGUAACCAUUGUAAGCUAUGGAAACUGUUAAACUUGAGUGCAGAAGGAGAGAGUGGAAUUCCAUGUGUAGCGGUGAAAUGCGUAGUGAUAUGGAGGAACACCGGUGGCGAAAGCGGCUAUCUGGUCUGUAACUGACGCUGAGGCUCGAAAGCGUGGGGAGCAAACAGG